UCCUGUAAACACAUUCUCCAGCGUCUCCUCGUCCCUCGUGUGUGUGUCACCGUGACAGAACAGCGGACCGAACUGUAAGCGGCAUCCCUUCCCCGUGUUUGAUUUCCGGUUUUUGUAAGUUUUUUGUUUUGCCCUUUCUUCC